CGCCGAUCCGGCUGCGUCACGCCGGCCGAACGACACCCCGCUGAGUCGCCGCCGCAGGGAAAGUACCUUCGGCCCCAACGGGAAAAGCCAAUUUCCAGUAAUUCGCGCCCGACCACCGGAGAGAGACAGAGUCUUGCACUGUUGCCCAGGCUGGAGUACAGUGGCGCAUUCUUGGCUCACUGCAACCUCCACCUCCCGGGUUCAAGAGAUUCUCCUGCCUCAGCCUCCCGAGUAGCUGGGAUUACAGGCGCCUGCCACCACGCCCAGCUAAUUUUUUGUAUUUUUAGUAGAGACAGGGUUUCACCAUGUUGGCCAGGCUGGUCUCGAACUCCUGACCUCAUGAUUCACCCACCUCAGCCUCCCAGAGUGUUGGGAUUACAGGCGUGAGCCACCGCGCCCGGCCAAGAUGAACAUUUUUUAAAACCAAUUUUUCAGGUAUAAGAUUUCUAGCCAAAGGAAAAUUUUGUUGUAUUUAUUCUAACAUUUGCUGUAAUUUGGUAUUAUGUGGUAUUUCUUUUGUGCUUUAACCAAAAUCAUGCUAGAUUUAGAUGCCAAUAAAUGCACAAUUUGAAUUGAAAA